AUGCGUCGGAGGUGAUUUCAUAGUCGUGUGACCACCAUGGAGCGCACUUACACACGCCCAGAUGGCACAGCCUACUGCACACCAGGCCGCAGUGUGCAGCCUGUCACUCCUAGGCGGCACACCUGCUCAGCAUGUGACAGUACUGAAUACCGCAGGCAAGUGUAACAUGAUGGCAACUAUUUAUGGAUCCGAACGUAUCUAAACAUUGCAAAGGUCACAUAUUUGUUCCAGGGACGUGCCCACAGUCCAUCCAGAGUCUUUCCUGUGAUAAGCCGGAUAGUGGCCCCAAGGAUGUCCAGCAGCUCCCCUUAUCCAAGGUUUUGCUUUCUGAGGUUUCAGUUACCCUGGGUCAACUGCAGUCUCAAAUUAUCUAACAGGUAUUUCUGGAAAUAAACGAUUGCUAAGUUUUAAAUUG